GAAGGACGUGAUAAGCUGCGAAAAGCUCCGUUUAGGUGCAAAUAACCUUUGAUGCGGAGAUCUCCGAAUGGGAUAACCCAAUAUGUUGAAGACAUAUUAUACCGUAAGGUAGGCAAACGCAGGGAACUGAAACAUCUAAGUACCUGCAGGAGAAGAAAACAAACGUGAUUCCCCCAGUAGCGGCGAGCGACCGGGGAUAAGCCCAAACCGUUAUUGUUUCGGCAGUAGCGGGGUAGUAGGACUGCGACAUUGAUGAAAUAAAUGAAAUGGAACACUUUGGAAAAUGUGAUCACAGAGGGUGAUAAUCCCGUACAUGCAAGUUUAUGAAUCAUAGCAGUAUCCUGAGUAAGUCGGGACACGUGUAAUCCUGACCGAAUCCGCCGGGACCAUCCGGCAAGGCUAAAUACUCCUGAGAGACCGAUAGUGAACCAGUACCGUGAGGGAAAGGUGAAAAGCACUUCGAACAGAAGAGUGAAAUAGUCCCUGAACCCAUACGCCUACAAGCAGUCGGAGCCGCUUCGUGCGGUGACGGCGUGCCUUUUGCAUAAUGAGCCUACGAGUUACUCAUCACCAGCGAGGUUAAGUACUUCAGGUACGUAAGCCGAAGCGAAAGCGAGUCUGAAUAGGGCGUCAAGUUGGUGGUGGUAGACGCGAAACCUUAGUGAUCUACCCAUGGGCAGGGUGAAGGUUUGGUAACACAAACUGGAGGCCCGAACCGGUAAACGUUGAAAAGUUUUCGGAUGACCUGUGGGUAGGGGUGAAAGGCCAAUCAAACUGGGAAAUAGCUCGUACUCUCCGAAAUGCAUUUAGGUGCAGCCUCUGUUGUUUUGUUCUAGAGGUAGAGCUACUGAUUGGAUGCGAGGGCUUCACCGCCUAUCAAAUCCGGCCAAACUCCGAAUGCUAGAACAUGAAGACAGGGAGUGAGCCAGCGGGUGCUAAGGUCCGUUGACGAAAGAGGGAGAACUCAGACCAUCAGCUAAGGUCCCCAAUUAUAUGCUAAGUUGGAAUUAAAACGGGGUGGGACUGCUUAGACAGCUAGGAUGUUGGCUUGGAAGCAGCCAUUCAUUUAAAGAGUGCGUAACAGCUCACUAGUCGAGCGGUCCUGCAUGGAUAAUACGCGGGCAUAAGCAUAUAACCGAAGCUAUGGGAUUGUAGAUGAUACAAUCGGUAGGAGAGCAUUCCAUUCAGCAUAGAAGCAGUACCGUGAGGUAUUGUGGAGCGGAUGGAAAAGCAAAUGUAGGCAUAAGUAACGAUAAUGCGGGUGAGAACCCCGCACGCCGAAAGAUCAAGGAUUCCCCGGCAAUGUCAAUCAUCCGGGGGUAAGUCGGAUCCUAAGGGUAAGCCGAGUGGCGAUCCCGAUGGUAAACAGGUUAAUAUUCCUGUACUGAUCAUAACUGCGAUGCAGCGACGCAGAGGUGACACUGCUGCGUACUGACGGAAUAGUACGUUGAAACCCGUAUUCUUUGAUACCGGUAGUGAAGCACGCCGGUAGAGAUGAAAGGUGAUAGUACCGCAAUGCUUCGGUUGCGCGGAUAAUGCAGGUAAGCUGACUGCCAAGAAAACCUGCUAAGCUUCAGGUAAUGAUCAUCCGUACUGUAAACGGACACACGUGAUCAGGUAGAAAAUACUAAGGCGCUCGAGAGAUUCAUGGUUAAGGAACUAGGCAAAAUGGUCCUGUAACUUCGGGAUAAAGGACGCUCUUGUGAAAGAGCCGCAGAUAAUAGGCCCAGGCGACUGUUUACCAAAAACACAUGGCUAUGCUAAUUCGCAAGAAGAUGUAUAUGGCCUGACACCUGCCCGGUGCCGGAAGGUUAAGAGGAGAGCUCAGAUGUAAGUCGAAGGUUUGAAUUGAAGCCCCGGUAAACGGCGGCCGUAACUAUAACGGUCCUAAGGUAGCGAAAUUCCUUGUCGGGUAAGUUCCGACCUGCACGAAUGGGCUGCGUCGUCAGGCGUAGAGUAGCCGUCGUUGAAAUACGACCCUUUUGUUAUCUGAGGUCUAAUCCCGUUAGGGAGACAUUGCAUGGUGGGUAGUUUGACUGGGGUGGUCGCCUCCAAAAGUGUAACGGAGGCUUCUCAAGGUACCCUCAAGGCGUUUGGUAAUCGUCUGCAGAGUGCAAUGGCAUAAGGGUGCUUGACUGUGAGACCGACACGUCGAUCAGGUUGGAAACAAGAGCAUAGUGAUCCGGUGGUUCCGCAUGGAAGGGCCAUCGCUCAAAGGAUAAAAGGUACUCCGGGGAUAACAGGCUGAUCGCUCCCAAGAGCUCAUAU
rnacentral:rRNA from 1 species